AACGAACGCUGGCGGCAUGCCUAACACAUGCAAGUCGAACGAGACCUUCGGGUCUAGUGGCGCACGGGUGCGUAACACGUGGGAAUUUGCCUCGGGGUAUGGAAUAACUCAGGGAAACUUGAGCUAAUACCAUAUAAUGUCUUCGGACCAAAGAUUUAUCGCCCUGAGAUAAGCCCGCGUAGGAUUAGCUAGUUGGUGGGGUAAAGCUCACCAAGGCGACGAUCCUUAGCUGGUCUGAGAGGACGAUCAGCCACACUGGGACUGAGACACGGCCCAGACUCCUACGGGAGGCAGCAGUGGGGAAUAUUGGACAAUGGGCGGAAAGCCUGAUCCAGCAAUGCCGCGUGAGUGAUGAAGGCC
rnacentral:rRNA from 1 species